GACGAACCGUCCAAACGUUAUUCGGAAUCAUUGGGCUUAAAGGGUGCGUAGGCGGUGCUAUAAGUCGGGUGUGAAAUCCCUCAGCUCAACUGAGGAACUGCGCCCGAUACUGUAGUGCUUGAGGGAGAUAGAGGUGAGCGGAACUGAUGGUGGAGCGGUGAAAUGCGUUGAUAUCAUCAGGAACACCAGUGGCGAAAGCGGCUCACUGGAUCUCUUCUGACGCUGAGGCACGAAAGCUAGGGGAGCGAACGGG
rnacentral:misc_RNA from 1 species